GGGUAGGUAGCUCAGCUGGUAGAGCAACGGACUGAAAAUCCGUGUGUCGCCGGUUCAAUUCCGGCCCUACCCA
rnacentral:tRNA from 1 species